AACGAACGCUGGCGGCAUGCCUAACACAUGCAAGUCGAACGAGAUCUUCGGGUCUAGUGGCGCACGGGUGCGUACGCGUGGGAAUCUGCCCUUUGGUUCGGAAUAACAGUUGGAAACGACUGCUAAUACCGGAUGAUGACGAAAGUCCAAAGAUUUAUCGCCAGAGGAUGAGCCCGCGUAGGAUUAGCUAGUCGGUGUGGUAAAGGCGCACCAAGGCGACGAUCCUUAGCUGGUCUGAGAGGAUGAUCAGCCACACUGGGACUGAGACACGGCCCAGACUCCUACGGGAGGCAGCAGUGGGGAAUAUUGGGCAAUGGGCGAAAGCCUGAUCCAGCAAUGCCGCGUGAGUGAUGAAGGCCUUAGGGUUGUAAAGCUCUUUUACCCGGGAUGAUAAUGACAGUACCGGGAGAAUAAGCUCCGGCUAACUCCGUGCCAGCAGCCGCCGUAA
rnacentral:rRNA from 1 species